CAUACCAAUUUCGAACUCCACAAAUUGAAACACACAACACUCAAGAUUGAAGUCAAGGGUUGUAAUAGGGCUUGGGGGUAAUGGCUAAUAAAGAAAGGAUAGGAAUAACAAACGUUCUUAAAGCGAUAGCAAGCAAAGCAAUGAAAUAGACACUUGGAAUUCACUUUAGAAUGCAGAAUCAACUUUUAAAUACAAAGGGAAGAUUCAUGCAACACUUAGGGCCGAAUUCAAUGUUUUGGACCAUUUUUUAACAAACUUUUUUUUUUCCUUUCUUUUCUACCCGUGCCUUAUUAAGGACUUUGGCACACACACACACACACAAGAAUCACUUCCCCCACACUUGCUUUCUGCAAUGCAUUGAUUAAAAAAUAAAAAAAAAAAAAGAGUUCAUUUUAAGUCAUGCUUUACUAUGCUUCAAGAACAAGGGUAUGGAUGGUCCUAAAACUAGGCUAGGUAAGGAUAUAAUGGAUUAACAAAGAACAUAGGCUUAACAAGGCUCAACGGGGUUAAACUUAAAUACAUAAUGAAAUAGGGGCACGACAAUUUGGCUUUGGUGGUCACUACACAACUUCAUCUUGAAUAUGUGUUAUGCAAAUCAAUAGCAUGCUUUGAAUGAAAUAGGCAUGAGUUCUAGCAUUUGGAACUAACUGAUGAAACGCCUUCUAAGUAGCAACCAAGCAAAGAGUAAUGAGAUCAUGCAACGACUUUAGGAAACAAUGAUGCACAUAUUAUUAACUCUCCAAAUAAACGUUUAGGCUCAAGUCUCACAAGGUU
rnacentral:lncRNA from 1 species